CUUAACAGAGCGAAUGCCGCUUUUUGAUCAGGUUAUUUGAGGGGCUGUGAGAGUGUCUUCCUUCCCCUUUAUCCUCUUUCAAUCCAUAUCUAUGGCAAACAUUAGACUGUCUCUACUGACAAUAGGCAUUUUUGCUUACUAUUGACAGAUUAAUUCUAUCAAUGGCUUAAAAUCCUGCUGUGGUUCUCCUGAACUAUUCUGUUUUUCCCUGAGGACUCUGGUUCCUUCCUGUAUGGUCUGCUGUCUUUUGCUGUUUUACCUCUUUGCAUUGUAUGUCUGAAA